rnacentral:rRNA from 1 species
CUUCACGAUAAUACUAUAAUUGAUAACAUGUUUGGGCUUGGAAGCUAAGCAGAGUCAGGUCUGGUUAGUAAUUGAUUGGGAGACCUUCAGGAAAUACUAGGUUCUGGACU